AACGAACGCUGGCGGCAUGCCUAACACAUGCAAGUCGAACGAGACCUUCGGGUCUAGUGGCGCACGGGUGCGUAACGCGUGGGAAUCUGCCCUUGGGUUCGGAAUAACAGUUGGAAACGACUGCUAAUACCGGAUGAUGACGUAAGUCCAAAGAUUUAUCGCCCAGGGAUGAGCCCGCGUAGGAUUAGCUAGUUGGCGGGGUAAAGGCCUACCAAGGCGACGAUCCUUAGCUGGUCUGAGAGGAUGAUCAGCCACACUGGGACUGAGACACGGCCCAGACUCCUACGGGAGGCAGCAGUGGGGAAUAUUGGACAAUGGGCGAAAGCCUGAUCCAGCAAUGCCGCGUGAGUGAUGAAGGCCUUAGGGUUGUAAAGCUCUUUUACCCGGGAUGAUAAUGACAGUACCGGGAGAAUAAGCCCCGGCUAACUCCGUG
rnacentral:rRNA from 1 species